rnacentral:rRNA from 1 species
UACGUAGGGUGCGAGCGUUAAUCGGAAUUAUUGGGCGUAAAGCGUGCGCAGGCGGUUCCGCAAGUCAGAUGUGAAAUCCCCGGGCUCAACCUGGGAACUGCAUUUGAAACUAUGGAGCUAGAGUGUGUCAGAGGGGGGUAGAAUUCCACGUGUAGCAGUGAAGUGCGUAGAGAUGUGGAGGAAUACCGAUGGCGAAGGCAGCCCCCUGGGAUGACACUGACGCUCAUGCACGAAAGCGUGGGGAGCAAACAGG